UACGGGGGGUGCAAGCGUUGUUCGGAAUUACUGGGCGUAAAGGGCUCGUAGGCGGCCAACUAAGUCGGAUGUGAAAUCCCCAGGCUUAACCUGGGAAUUGCAUCCGAUACUGGAUGGCUUGAAUCCGGGAGAGGGAUGCGGAAUUCCAGGUGUAGCGGUGAAAUGCGUAGAUAUCUGGAGGAACACCGGUGGCGAAGGCGGCAUCCUGGACCGGCAUUGACGCUGAGGAGCGAAAGCCAGGGGAGCAAACGGG
rnacentral:rRNA from 1 species